rnacentral:lncRNA from 1 species
CGCUCAGCUUGCGCUCUGCCUAGUGUGGAAGGCGUUCUCCACACGGUUAGCUGCCUAUUUCCACAGAAUCCGAAGUUAGCGCUCUGAGGUCGUGGUGACGCGGUCGGGAGCGCACGGUACUGCUGGCUUCUAUCCCUCGUGGUCCCACUUUACCGCCUCCUUCUACGGCCACCUGUCCUUCCAGGGGGUCUUUCUUGGAGCACCGUCACCUGGAGUCACCUGUAGAUUGAGGUGUGCAUGGCAACCCCCCCGCUCGCUGCGGGUGCUGGAAAAGGGAGGCGGGCCAAGGCCUCCGGCCCUAGAAAGUUGAGCAAGACCUGGCAACCUUCCCACAGAGGUGAUCAAUAAGUGCUUGUGGAAAGAACAAAUGAAUGGAUGGAUGGAGGAGGAGUCAGAAGGAGCACUCAGGAUGCCUUCCAGCUUUUCCAUGUGGGAGCAAGAAGUGAUGGUGAUCCUGGAGGAAGAGUCAACAUUCGCUCUUUUGAGUUUAUUUAGAAGACAGAGCUGCAUCAAGGUCCUGGUUCUAGCCUCUGGGGCACACUGGCUACCCGUCUGCAGGCAAAGAUCCAGUCCCUUCUUAAAGCUGAAUGUCCCCUAUUAUCUUGUAAGUGCCUUCACAGUCCACCCAUCCUCCCUAGGCACGAGGAAAUUAUUCACAUCCAUGUUCAAACCUGGUGGCCGGAUCUCCUCCCUCCUCCAUCCAGUGUCCCCUUCUCUUCCCCUCUCCCUGGAUUCCUUCUCAGGAGUGCUGCUCCCUCUUUCUUUAAAAAAAUCUUAA